GGGAGGCAGCAGUGAGGAAUUUUGCGCAAUGGGCGAAACUGACGCAGCGACGCCGCGUGGAGGAUGAAGGCCUUCGGGUCGUAAACUCCUGUCAGAGGUGAAGAAUCCCUGAGCAAUCAGGGUUGACGGUAACCUCAGAGGAAGCCCCGGCCAACUACGUGCCAGCAGCCGCGGUAAUACGUAGGGGGCAAACGUUGCUCGGAAUUACUGGGCGUAAAGGGUGUGUAGGUGGCUGAGCAAGUCAAAGAUGAAAUCCCGAGGCUCAACUUCGGAAUGGUCUUUGAUACUGUUUAGCUUGAGGAUAGUUGAAGAGAAUGGAAUUCCCGGUGGAGCGGUGAAAUGCGUAGAUAUCGGGAGGAACACCUGAGGCGAAGGCGAUUCUCUAAGCUACUCCUGACACUGAAACACGAAAGCUAGGGGAGCAAACGGGAUUAGAUACCCCGGUAGUCCUAGCCGUAAACGAUGGACACUAGAUAUUCCUGCGUUUAUGUGGGAGUGUCGAAGCUAACGCGUUAAGUGUCCCGCCUGGGGAGUACGGUCGCAAGGCUGAAACUCAAAUGAAUUGACGG
rnacentral:rRNA from 1 species